GGAACAUAAUCAGUCUUUUGGCGCAUGAAGGAGGGCAUGCGCUUACUAUUUUUCCUUUCCUAUUGAACAUAUUACUUUCUGCAUGAAAUAUAGUUUAUUUACAUUUUAGAGUACCUGAGGAUUGAAUUAAAACAUUGUUUGACUUGUUUGGAUGAAGUUUAGCGGUAGCUUUUCUGACUCCUUUGCAUGUUGAACGAGUGGAUUACUGAAAUCGAUGGAGCCAACUAAACAAACUGUUUGGGAUAUAAAGAAUGAUUUUAUCCAACAAAACAACCAUUCAUGUUGUAGCUGGGACCCUUGGGAUUGCAAACAGAGGAAGGUCUUCAAAAGGGGAAAAUGUUGGUGUCCUGGCCAGGAACAACUCCAACACCAUCAUCAAGUUUGCUGACGACACAACGGUGGUAGGCCUGAUCACCAGCGAUAAUGAGUCUGCCUACAGGGAGGAGGUCAGUGACCUGGCAGUGUGAUGCCAGAGCAACAACCUCUCCCUCAAUGUCAGUAAGACCAAGGAGCUGAUCGUGGACUACAGGAAACAAGGCACGCCCCCAUCCACAUCGACGAGGCUACAGUGGAGCAGGUCAAGAGCUUCAAGUUCUUCGGUGUCCAAAUUACUAAAAUGUUGGCGAAGAGGAUGGCUGACGUUUUAAAUGUUCCUGACUGAUUGUUCUUUUUUGUAUGUUUUUUUGCAUUGUUUGUAACUUAUUUGUUUAGUUAUUUUGUACAUAAUGCUGCUGCCACCAUCUCUUAUGACGAAAAUAACUUCUGGACAUCAGAACAGCGAUUACUCACCACAAACUGGUUGAACCUUUAUCCUUUAACGAGUCCGACAAGAAGGACAUACUGCUCUCCUGGGAACAGGCCCAAAUCCCGGUCAUUUGCGUGAAGAAAAGACUGAGGACAAGAGGACACAUACAUUGGGCUGCCGGGAAAUCCGUAGGUUGCUGACAUCCACUUGCUAACAUGCAAUCAUUAGAAAAUAAAAUGGAUAACCUACGAUUACGAUUAUCCUACCAACGGGACAUUAAGAACUGUAAUAUCUUAUGUUUCACCGAUUCCUGAUUGAACGACAACACGGAUAAUAUAGUGCUGGCAGGUUUUUCCAUGCACCUGGCAGAACAUAAAUGAUACUUCUGGUAA